GACGGACGCUGGCGGCGUGCUUAACACAUGCAAGUCGAACGCUGAAGCCCUUUCGGGGGUGGAUGAGUGGCGAACGGGUGAGUAACACGUGGGUAAUCUGCCCUGUACUUCGGGAUAAGCCUUGGAAACGGGGUCUAAUACCGGAUAGGACCUGUCCUCGCAUGGGGGUGGGUGGAAAGUUCCGGCGGUAUGGGAUGAGCCCGCGGCCUAUCAGCUUGUUGGUGGGGUAGUGGCCUACCAAGGCGACGACGGGUAGCCGGCCUGGGAGGGUGACCGGUCACACUGGGACUGAGACACGGCCCAGACUCCUACGGGAGGCAGCAGUGGGGAAUCUUGCGCAAUGGGCGAAAGCCUGACGCAGCAACGCCGCGUGGGGGAUGACGGCCUUCGGGUUGUAAACCUCUUUCGACAUCGACGAAGGGGCCCUGUUGUGGGGUUUUGACGGUAGGUGUAGAAGAAGCACCGGCUAACUACGUGCCAGCCGCCGCCGUAA
rnacentral:rRNA from 1 species